rnacentral:rRNA from 1 species
GGUAAUACGGAGGGUGCGAGCGUUAAUCGGAAUUACUGGGCGUAAAGCGCAUGCAGGUGGUUUGUUAAGUCAGAUGUGAAAGCCCGGGGCUCAACCUCGGAAUAGCAUUUGAAACUGGCAGACUAGAGUACUGUAGUAGGGGGGUAGAAUUUCAGGUGUAGCGGUGAAAUGCGUAGAGAUCUGAAGGAAUACCGGUGGCGAAGGCGGCCCCCUGGACAGAUACUGACACUCAG